rnacentral:misc_RNA from 1 species
ACGAAACCACAGUAACACGAUUCCAUCAAAUCACAACAUAUAAUUUGAACCAAAAACAAACGAUGGCUUGAAAGGAAAUGCAUGGAGCUCUGUAGCAUACCGAAUCAAGAGCUCUAGGUACCAAAACUCAAAACCUGCAAAACCAAAAGCUCUGUAGCAUACACACACAAUCUGUUUAUUUGUUGCCAAACAGUACUACUGCUGCAGUUUCCAUACACGCACACAUGCAUCUUCCCCAGCACUCACCACACUGUUCUCAUCGCUGAAGACCAAUCCAUACACCCCUCCUAGGUGAGCACAUUUUAUAGUCGUGCGUGUCGAUGCUGCCUUGUCCACCUCAUAUACAAUCACACAUGUGUCCAG